AACAGGCCACAAAGGAAGGGAUUGCUGAGCUGCGGAUUUCUCCCAGAAAUCGGGAGUUGGCUGGGACUGAGCCAGGCCCUAAGAGAGCCCCUGGCAGCCCCAGGGGCUCCUGGGGCAAUAACAGGGCAUCCACCAGGAUCUCCUGAGGCUCUAUCUCUGCUGAGAAGCCAGUGCCUACUGAAUGCGGGGGUACCCUGCCGGUUCCUGCUCUCAUCAACUGCCCUGUGUGAGCUGCACAUGUGACUGACUGAUUAGUGGGGUGGCUUAUCUCCUCUGAACUUGGACUUUGCCUCUCCACUCCUUGAAGACAGCUGCUCCUUCCCACAAGGGGGGUUCAGUGAAUUUGGGGAGAUCCCAAGUGGAUUCCCAGGCAUCCUGGUGGACCCCUGCAGGGACUAGGAGGGGCCCGCUGUGAUCAUAUGGGCGGUGGUUCUGGGCCUUAUGAUCUCCUCAUUGCGUCCCCCUCUGCCCACUGGACUUGGACUUCGGAUCUGACCCCAGACCUGCCGGCUACCUCGGGAGGGCCCACCUC
rnacentral:sRNA from 1 species